rfam:Gossypium raimondii Chr01_contig_1212, whole genome shotgun sequence.
UAUUAAAAAUUUCACUACUUCUAUUGUUAAAAAUUGGCAUGGCUGAGGAAAUAACUUGAUAGAUGCACGUCACGUGUACCUCAUUCUAACAUAUAUGGACCAGUUUUUAAUAGUAAAAAUAAAUUAAAUUUUUAACA